ACCAUAAUGUGACAUAUAAAUUGUUAACAAAACAACAAUAUUAACCAAAUUCCACUCAGAAUGGUUUUUUGUCAUUCAUGGUUAAUCGUUGCCUACAGAUAUGCAUUCAAUUUCCCCUCUAUAUUCCCAAUCACAACUACAACAGUGGCCAACCCAGGUGCGAAGUAUAUCCUUUUUUUCAUAACGUUAUAUACAUUUUAAAUUUAUUUUAAUAAGCAUAUAUAUAUUAUUAUAUACAAUGAAAUCUUUAUUUGAACAGUG